rnacentral:lncRNA from 1 species
GUUCUCAUAAGCUUUCCAACCAUAUAAAGAACUCAAAUUUUGGAGUUAAAAAAAGAAGUUACGAGUUUUUGAAAUUUGGAUGAUAAUCUGAAUUUUAAGCGUGAAACUAGGUAAAAUCCUGAAAUUCAUCACGUGAUAACUUUUUAUACAUUAAGUUUCAUGCUGUCCAUUUGGUAUGGUUGGAUAGAUCUUCUCAAGACCUUUCUAACGAUAUAAAGAUCAUUAAUUUUGGACUUGAGACGAGAAAGUUA